rnacentral:tRNA from 1 species
AAUACCAAUUUCUUUAUCAAUCAAUUUAAUGCUCUCAACUUGUUUCAUCGCAGCACUAACUGUUUUAUUUAG